CAAUAACAGGUUGGGAAUCCAAAGGCAGGUUUCACCAGCAGUAAAGAAGCUCCUAUGAAUGUGAGACUGAGUGAAUGAGUGGGCAGACGCAUCCCAUAUAAGAUGCCCGGCCUGGCAGAACAGUACACGCUCCUUCACUCCACCAAGAUGGAAACACAAGUCUUUAUGCCCCAGGAGUGCUCCACGACUUCUAUAGCCAACCCACAGCCCGGGGGUCUCCAGAGCAGGACCACCAGGUUAAUGCUGCUGCUAAUCUCUGUGCUGCUUCUGCUGAUUGUAGGAAUGGUUGGACUGUACAUUUUUAUGCAUAUACAUCCCACAGUAGAGGAGAUAAACCAUGCAAACUGCACACAAAGGAUCAAUUUCACAGAGGACAACGCUAAAAAAACCCCAAAAUCUUCCGUCUUCGAAGUGCAACAAAGCGGGACCUACAUCAUUCAUGGCACAGAGAAAAGGAUGAAGAAUGAUAAUACCUCCAAUAGCUGCAUCGAUAAGUUAUACUUAUUGAGCUGUUGGGAAACUGCAACAAACUGCACAUACCUGAAGACAUUCUUUUCCAAUGAAACUUCCCAAGAAGCUAUGAUUGUGGCCACUGGUGUUGAGCUGAAGGAAAAGACAGAAGUGUUCGUGCAAAGGAACUGCCAAUUAGCUCAAAGAAGGGAAUAUCAUUUUAUAGUGGUAAAAGUUGCAUGACAUGACAUAAAAAACACAACAUAAGAAAUCAGUUUAUCCAUUGUAAAAGGGACUAGGCUGCUGCUGUACUGUAUUUACAUUUUAAAACCAGUAUACUACCAGUAGUGUACAGUGCCUUCACUGAAACAUGGAAAGUUGUUCAGUCUGCAUGAAUUCUAUCUCUUUGUGCUUCAUAGUGAAUGCUCAGUAUCCAGGUAUAAUAUUGUGUAGAUGAAAAAUAAACAUGUUAUUAUCUGCUGUAUAUCA
rnacentral:lncRNA from 1 species